CCUUCAAGUAAGCUGCAGCCUGAGAAGCAAAUAACUGCAGUAAAAUUCAAAGAAGAAAUGCACUGCAGAAUCCAGCAAUCUGGUCAAACUAUUCUAGAAGAGAAUAAGGUAAUAAUCAAUUAAGUAGGCUAUUAAUUACUUAGAUUCAUGUUUAACUAUGGAUAUAAAAGAAUGACUAUGGAGCAGCAAAUAUAGCCUAUGUGUGGGUCCUGAGCAGCAUCCAGAUCAGGUGACUCAUAUCAUGCCAUACCACAUUAAGUCUUCAGAUAAGUGUGGCUGCUGGUAGGAGCUAGUAGAGUAUGUGAAGGGUGGUUCUGACUGAAAAACUGGGGCUGGGCAUCCCUUGGUGGAGCAUGUUAGAAAUAUCUUUUGUCCCUCAGAUCUCUGAUAGAGUGUACAGUGCAACUCUCAGGUCUGGGUGACUAAAACCUGGCUGGAACUGAGUCAGCACUUCUGUGGUGAUGCACAAACUGGGCAGGACCCAUUGCCACUUACCAUAGUGCUGAGAAACCUCAGCCAAAAACUCCAGGGGUUGACAAGGCUGGAGGACACUUGCUGUAAGUAAUGAGGAGCUCCAAACAAUUCCUGAUUUAAUAAAUCGUUGGAAACUUUUGUAAUGCACAGUUUAAUAGAAUUUAAAGAUGAGAAAGGAUUAAAUGAAUAACAGGAAGCAUCCUGCAAGAAUUUCCCCCAGAGCACUGUGGGCGAGGGAAUGAAUGUGAGAGAGGGAGCACACAUUUUGCAGUAGAAGAAUGCAUGCCCGUAAGGGGUGGAGCAUGCUUCUGCUCGCUGCAUGGCUCACAAGCACUUCCGGGAGAAACCGAGGCUAGCAGGGGAGAGGGUGGGCAACCUCCCGUUGCAUUUGAUUCGUGAGUCACUGAGAUGCAUUUUGUUUCACUUCCUUCUUUUCGCCUCUCCACCCCUGUAAUAGAGCCCUCCUCUGUCACUUCGAAAGUAAGACCCGUUUUGCUGGGUAGCUG